GGGGAAGUCUUGGCGGGCGGGAUGCUAUUUAUUAAAGCGGCACGUUAACUUUCCACAAAACACUGAAAAAAAGGCGACCUGCCAUCAGGAUCCAGACUUGGUUCAGUACGGAAACGACCUGACUUCAUCUUCGACAUCAGCGGACAGAAAGACAACACAACAAUGAUCAUCGCACCUUUGAUUUUUGUAUUUCUGCUCGUAGGAAGCAGCUGGGCUGAGAGUGAUACCUUCGAUCAAAGCUCUUUCGACGGUGGCAGCGAUGACCUUGUCGUCCCACAAAACAUGCCUGUCAUGAAUGUCAGAAGUUUUAGGGUUAAACGUGCAGGUGAUGAUGAUGGUAGUGGUAGUGGUAGUGGUAGUGGUGGUGGUAGUGGUGGUGGUGGUGGUGGUGGUGUACCGUUGUAAUGUCCCAAAAAAGGCCAGUGAUAAUGUCCCAACUCAAAAGUUUAGCGGUUGUCCAUUCUGGUCACAGCCUUUUGUGUCCUUGGGCAAGGCACUUCCCGCACCUGGCACCCAGUGCCACCCACAUUGGUACGGUGUGCUAUAACCUGGUUUGUUAACGGAAAUUAGCUCACGAACAUGGGACUGUCCUGAAUAAAGAAAUUAAAACAUGG